CGCGGCCUAUCAGCUUGUUGGCGUGGUAACGGCUCACCAAGGCAUCGACGGGUAGCUGGUCUGAGAGGAUGAUCAGCCACACUGGGACUGAGACACGGCCCAGACUCCUACGGGAGGCAGCAGUGGGGAAUCUUGCACAAUGGGCGCAAGCCUGAUGCAGCAACGCCGCGUGCGGGAAGAAGGCCCUAGGGUUGUAAACCGCUUUCAGUAGGGAAGAAACUGACGGUACCUACAGAAGAAGGUGCGGCCAACUACGUGCCAGCAGCCGCGGUGACACGUAGGCACCAAGCGUUAUCCGGAUUUAUUGGGCGUAAAGAGCUCGUAGGCGGCUCGGUAAGUCGGGUGUGAAAGCUCUGGGCUCAACCCAGAGAUGCCACCCGAUACUGCUGUGGCUAGAGCGCGGUAGGGGAGCGGGGAAUUCCUGGUGUAGCGGUGAAAUGCGCAGAUAUCAGGAGGAACACCAGUGGCGAAGGCGCCGCUCUGGGCCGUAACUGACGCUGAGGAGCGAAAGCAUGGGUAGCAAACAGGAUUAGAUACCCUGGUAGUCCAUGCCGUAAACGUUGGGCACUAGGUGUGGGUCUCAACCAACGAGAUCCGCGCCGUCGCUAACGCAUUAAGUGCCCCGCCUGGGGAGUACGG
rnacentral:rRNA from 1 species